rnacentral:rRNA from 1 species
UUAGGCAGCAGUGGGGAAUUUUGGACAAUGGGGGCAACCCUGAUCCAGCCAUGCCGCGUGUGUGAAGAAGGCCUUCGGGUUGUAAAGCACUUUCGGCCGGAACGAAAUCGCGCGAUCUAAUAAGUCGCGUGGAUGACGGUACCGGAAGAAGAAGCACCGGCUAACUACGUGCCAGCAGCCGCGGUAAUACGUAGGGUGCGAGCGUUAAUCGGAAUUACUGGGCGUAAAGUGUGCGCAGGUGGCCGCGCAUGUCGAGUGUGAAAUCCCCGGGCUUAACUUGGGAAUUGCGCUCGAAACUACGUGGCUCGAGUGCGGCAGAGGAAGGUGGAAUUCCAGGUGUAGCGGUGAAAUGCGUAGAGAUCUGGAGGAACACCGAUGGCGAAGGCAGCCUUCUGGGCCAACACUGACACUCAUGCACGAAAGCGUGGGGAGCAAACAGGAUUAGAUACCCUGGUAGUCCACGCCCUAAACGAUGAUGACUAGUUGUUGGAGGAGUUAAAUCCUUUAGUAACGCAGCU